CUCCCCGUAUGCAGUUUGGUUAGUACCUGCCAAACAUGAUACCUUGAAGUACAACUGGUGCACCAGCGUCAUGGUCAUGGGUGCUCAAGCCUCAGUAAUGCACAUGGAGAGCAAAGGCUAGACCAUCGAGUCCAGUCAUACAGAUAAAACUACCUUAACUCAAAUUGCUGAAAAAUCUAAAGCGGUAAUGUCACCAAUCCUAC